AUUCUUGGUCAAGUUUCUUAUUCUUACUGAUGCCCAGUUUUCCAUGUAUAAAGUAGAGAUGAGUGUACCAUUGAACACUUGCGGAAGGCAAACACUUAGAGUUUUAUCCAGUAUACUUUUGUGAAAAGAAGAAUAUAUAGCCACUGAAGGCAAAAUGGUGAUGCUGAUGGUCCAUUCAUGUGAAGACAUUUGAGAUGACGCUUCGGAGGAAUAUAUUUAAAAGACUAAAUGCUCUCUGAAGGAGAAAUGUCAACAUUUACAUCUUCUAACAUAUCAUCACUGGGAACUUCAUGAUGAAGAAAAAAAGGAAAAACAAAACAGUGUGCCUCAUGAUGAGAAACCAUAUAGCUCUUGCCUAGAGUUUAAGCGGGUAAAGAAAGAAGCUGCUCUCGGAUAUCGUUCUGUCUGUUCUCAGCCCAUGGCCUGCCUUCUGCAUGUUACUGGUAAACCUGUGUUUGUUUUUAGCCUAGGGUUAUCAAUUUACACUAAGCUCCUUCAUGAUAUUUAAAUAAAUGGUUGUUUAAGCAACUUUCAAAUGUGCCAAAGUUGGAAGGAUUCUGCAUUUGGGAAGAAAG
rnacentral:lncRNA from 1 species